rnacentral:rRNA from 1 species
CAGCCGUAAACUAUGCGCGUUAGGUGUACUGGUGACCACGAGUCACCGGGGUGCCGAAGGGAAACCGUGAAACGUGCCGCCUGGGAAGUACGGUCGCAAGGCUGAAACUUAAAGGAAUUGGCGGGGGAGCACCACAACGGGUGGGAGCCUGCGGUUUAAUUGGACUCAACGCCGGAAUCUCACCGGAUAGGACAGACAUAUGAUAGUCGGGCUGAAGACUCUACUUGAUGAUCUGAGAGGAGGUGCAUGGCGUAGUCGUGU